rnacentral:rRNA from 1 species
UGGGGAAUAUUGCACAAUGGGGGAAACCCUGAUGCAGCGACGCCGCGUGAGCGAAGAAGGUUUUCGAAUCGUAAAGCUCUGUCCUAUGAGAAGAUAAUGACGGUAUCAUAGGAGGAAGCCCCGGCUAACUUCGUGCCAGCAGCCGCGGUAAUACGAAGGGGGCUAGCGUUGUUCGGAUUUACUGGGCGUAAAGCGCACGUAGGCGGACUUUUAAGUCAGGGGUGAAAUCCCGGGGCUCAACCCCGGAACUGCCUUUGAUACUGGAAGUCUUGAGUAUGGUAGAGGUGAGUGGAAUUCCGAGUGUAGAGGUGAAAUUCGUAGAUAUUCGGAGGAACACCAGUGGCGAAGGCGGCUCACUGGACCAUUACUGACGCUGAGGUGCGAAAGCGUGGGGAGCAAACAGG